GGAGAAUCUUAGAUUUUCUUAAUGUUCUGUAGGGUGACGAGCAAUGCGGCAACAUGGACGUUGCCGCAAGCAAAAGCCGGGACAUGGAUGUCACGUCUUUUGCGGUUGCGGUCGUGAAUAAUAUUUUGGCAGAACAUUUAGA
rnacentral:ncRNA from 1 species